rnacentral:rRNA from 1 species
UACGUAGGGUGCGAGCGUUAAUCGGAAUUACUGGGCGUAAAGCGUGCGCAGGCGGUCGUGCAAGUCGCGUGUGAAAGCCCCCGGCUCAACUGGGGAGGGUCACGCGAUACUGUUCGACUCGAAGGCAGGAGAGGGAAGUGGAAUUCCCGGUGUAGUGGUGAAAUGCGUAGAUAUCGGGAGGAACACCAGUGGCGAAGGCGACUUCCUGGCCUGUUCUUGACGCUGAGGCGCGAAAGCUAGGGGAGCAAACGGG